AAAGAAGUGAGAAAAGGAGACAAAGAGGUGAUGGCUGCAGGCUGCUUACUAGGUCCGAACAUAAGUGUGUAACACAGGUUAAUAGCUUUUUCUCGAAUCUGCAGAUUGUGGAGCAUGGCCGUUCUUAAUUCUUAUAAUAAAUAGAUGCUUUAAGGGUUAAGAAGUUGAAGCUUUUAUGGAAUCUGUUUAUUAAAGCGGAUCCGUACCUCUUAGUUUGUCCUUUUACCGGACAAAACAAUGAAAUUGAGGAAUAACAGCUCUGUAACGCCCUAGGAUGCUCUGAGCUGCGCAAUGAAAGUAUAAACCCAGUGAUCCGGAUAAAUCGCUGGACCACUUUCAGGCUUAGGAUUGGGAAUUGGAAGUUUUCAUUUGGGACUUGGAAUUUCCAGUAAGUGUUAGUGAUUACUUCGCAUUAAUUGGGUCCAUGCUCUUUGUACA
rfam:Glossina fuscipes fuscipes unplaced genomic scaffold Scaffold247, whole genome shotgun sequence.